rnacentral:rRNA from 1 species
GACGAACGCUGGCGGCGUGCUUAACACAUGCAAGUCGAACGGAAAGGCCCUGCUUUUGUGGGGUGCUCGAGUGGCGAACGGGUGAGUAACACGUGAGUAACCUGCCCUUGACUUUGGGAUAACUUCAGGAAACUGGGGCUAAUACCGGAUAGGAGCACCUGCUGCAUGGUGGGGGUUGGAAAGUUUCGGCGGUUGGGGAUGGACUCGCGGCUUAUCAGCUUGUUGGUGGGGUAGUGGCUUACCAAGGCUUUGACGGGUAGCCGGCCUGAGAGGGUGACCGGCCACAUUGGGACUGAGAUACGGCCCAGACUCCUACGGGAGGCAGCAGUGGGGAAUAUUGUACAAUGGGCGGAAGCCUGAUGCAGCAACGCCGCGUGCGGGAUGACGGCCUUCGGGUUGUAAACCGCUUUCGCCUGUGACGAAGCGUGAGUGACGGUAAUGGGUAAAGAAGCACCGGCUAACUACGUG